rnacentral:rRNA from 1 species
GAUGAACGCUGGCGGCGUGCCUAAUACAUGCAAGUCGAGCGAACGGACGAGAAGCUUGCUUCUCUGAUGUUAGCGGCGGACGGGUGAGUAACACGUGGACAACCUACCUAUAAGACUGGGAUAACUUCGGCAAACCGGAGCUACUACCGGAUAAUAUUUUGAACCGGAUGGUUCAAAAGUGAAAGACGGGCUUGCUGUCACUUAUAGAUGGAUCCGCGCGGCAUUAGCUAGUUGGUAAGGUAACGGCUUACCAAGGAAGCGAUGCAUAGCCGACGUGAGCGGGGGUACGGCCACACUGGAGCUGAGAGACGGUCCUGAGUCCGACGGGAGGCAGCAGUAGGGAAGGUUCGGCAAUGGGCGGAAGCCUGACGGAGCAGCGCCGCGUGGGUGAUGAAGGUCUUCGGAUCGUAAGACUCUGUUAUUAGGGAAGAACAUAUUUGUAAGUAACUGUGCACAGCGUGACGGUACCGAAUCAGAAAGCCACGGCUAACUACGUG